rnacentral:rRNA from 1 species
GACGAACGCUGGCGGCGUGCUUAACACAUGCAAGUCGAACGAAGUGGCGUACGGGUGAGUAACGCGUAAUCAACCUGCCCUUCAGAGGGGGACAACAGUUGGAAACGACUGCUAAUACCGCAUACUGAAGGCGGUGAUUGCGUCUGAUUCGCUAGUUGGAGGGGUAACGGCCCACCAAGGCGAUGAUCAGUAGCCGGGCUGAGAGUGUGAACGGCCACAUGGGGACUGAGACACGGCCCAGAAUCCGUCGGGAGGCAGCAGUGUGGAAUCUUCCGAAAUGGACGAAAGUCUGACGGAGCAACGCCGCGUGAGUGAUGACGGCCUUCGGGUUGUAAAGCUCUGUUAAUCGGGACGCGGUACCGGAAUAGAAAGCCACGGCUAACUACGUGCCAGCAGCCGCGGUAAUAC